GGCCAGUUUUUUGAUCCGUAGUAAAAAAUGGUUUUACCAUUUGUUACAUUAACUAUAGUUAAAUGAAUAACCAUUGGUAAAAUCGUAAAUGCGUUUUUCAAUGCCUUUUUUAACUAUAGUUAAUCUUAACAAUUUGUCAAUUUGUUGCCAGUGCAAUGAGCAAUGACAUCCCAAAAAAUGUGGUUCUUUUUGUGGGGAACAUUUAUUUUGUAUGACAACACUAGACAUAUUGAGUGAAUGAAAUCCAUUUUUGCCAUCUUCAUUCGUUAUUUGCGCUUUGAAGAGUUUGAAGUGUCAAAUUAAUCUAAAUAACACGAUAUAAAUAAAGUUGUUUUUCUGUGUUUUAAUACGGUUUACACUUUUUACGAUACUUAAAUAUAUAAAUAACGAUGUCCGCAAACAGCCAACGGUCAAAUAAGGACCAUACUGCUAACUUCGCCAAAAAAGAAACUGCCAAACUGGUGAUGCUUCUCAAGGAUUACACAGUCGUAACCUGCAAACAACUGAUCACUGCAGCAAUCUACAAAAAGAUGCAGCUUGGAAAUCUCUGUGACGUUUUCAACUCAGAUGGGUCUAGACACCGACGUGUUAAAUUUAAUAUACAUUUAAUGAAGGUGUAGGCACAUUUUUAUAUUUAUUCUUGUAUAGCUGUGUCCUACAACAAAAGGAAAAAAUCUUUUAACCCUUUGGAAACAAGGAAGCGGAU